UAGAUUAAAGUCCGCCGGUUUGGACAGUUAAUUGUUAAUUAGUUUUUGUGGGAUCGAGGCCCACUAGUCUAG
rnacentral:tRNA from 1 species